CGCUCCCGGCGCCGAGGGAGCACCCACCCCCUGCACGCGCCAUCGGCCGGGGUGACUAAUCCGCCGGCUGGCUCCCUGCGCCCCCUCCCCGGCUCAUUCGGCCCGCGGGGCGAGGGAAGGUGGCCGGACCCGGCGACACGCCCCUGCCCGCGACCGGCGGGGAAGCGCAGAUGCUGGCACCGAGGUGCCUCAGCCAGCCGCACCUCGGGUCCUGCGGGCAUCCCCUCCGGGCCGGGAGGUCAGGCCCCAGAGCCCGAGGCCCGCCUCACCACUGCCCUCCAGAACGGGGAAGACGAGGCCCAGAGAGGGCCAGGGACUUGUCCAAGCUCCACAGCGAGGGAGGCAGAGCCAGGGCACCGUGGUGAGGGCGUGCGAGGACAGACUGCAGGCUCCUGGAGGCGUCUGCGAGCUCAGUCUGCGCCCUGUGCAACCGCGCGCCCCGGAGGACACGGGCUGCGUGUGGCCCGUGCGA
rnacentral:lncRNA from 1 species